rnacentral:rRNA from 1 species
CAGUURMSGGCGUCUAUMAUGCAGUCGAGCGGACAGAAGGGAGCUUGCUCCCGGAUGUUAGCGGCGGACGGGUGAGUAACACGUGGGUAACCUGCCUGUAAGACUGGGAUAACUCCGGGAAACCGGAGCUAAUACCGGAUAGUUCCUUGAACCGCAUGGUUCAAGGAUGAAAGACGGUUUCGGCUGUCACUUACAGAUGGACCCGCGGCGCAUUAGCUAGUUGGUGAGGUAACGGCUCACCAAGGCGACGAUGCGUAGCCGACCUGAGAGGGUGAUCGGCCACACUGGGACUGAGACACGGCCCAGACUCCUACGGGAGGCAGCAGUAGGGAAUCUUCCGCAAUGGACGAAAGUCUGACGGAGCAACGCCGCGUGAGUGAUGAAGGUUUUCGGAUCGUAAAGCUCUGUUGUUAGGGAAGAACAAGUGCAAGAGUAACUGCUUGCACCUUGACGGUACCUAACCAGAAAGCCACGGCUAACUACGUGCCAGCAGCCGCGGUAAUACGUAGGUGGCAAGCGUUGUCCGGAAUUAUUGGGCGUAAAGGGCUCGCAGGCGGUUUCUUAAGUCUGAUGUGAAAGCCCCCGGCUCAACCGGGGAGGGUCAUUGGAAACUGGGAAACUUGAGUGCAGAAGAGGAGAGUGGAAUUCCACGUGUAGCGGUGAAAUGCGUAGAGAUGUGGAGGAACACCAGUGGCGAAGGCGACUCUCUGGUCUGUAACUGACGCUGAGGAGCGAAAGCGUGGGGAGCGAACAGGAUUAGAUACCCUGGUAGUCCACGCCGUAAACGAUGAGUGCUAAGUGUUAUGGGGGUUUCCGCCCCUUAGUGCUGCAGCUAACGCAUUAAGCACUCCGCCUGGGGGAGUACGGUCGCAGACUGGAAACUCAAGUACUUGACGGGGCGUCCCCGGUCAAYCGAGAGGSUUSU